AUUGAACGCUGGCGGCAUGCUUUACACAUGCAAGUCGAGCGGUAACAGGCCUUCGGGUGCUGACGAGUGGCGAACGGGUGAGUAAUGCAUCGGAACGUACCCAGAGGUGGGGGAUAACGCAGCGAAAGCUGUGCUAAUACCGCAUGUGAUCUGAGGAUGAAAGCGGGGGACCGAGCAGCAAUGUUUGGCCUCACGCCUUUGGAGCGGCCGAUGUCGGAUUAGCUAGUUGGUGGGGUAAAGGCCUACCAAGGCGACGAUCCGUAGCUGGUCUGAGAGGACGACCAGCCACACUGGGACUGAGACACGGCCCAGACUCCUACGGGAGGCAGCAGUGGGGAAUUUUGGACAAUGGGCGCAAGCCUGAUCCAGCAAUGCCGCGUGCGGGAAGAAGGCCUUCGGGUUGUAAACCGCUUUUGGCAGGAACGAAACGGUGUCCGCUAAUACCGGGCGCUAAUGACGGUACCUGCAGAAUAAGCACCGGCUAACUACGUG
rnacentral:rRNA from 1 species